rnacentral:lncRNA from 1 species
AUCCGGUUGGUUUUCAAAAUAAAACUGCUUUCUGCGAGCGCGACGCCUCUGACUCGCUCCCGGGUCCGUCUUCAUUUUGAUUGUGCUGUGAUUUUGAUCUACCGGGAGCGAGUCAGAGGCGUCGCGCGUGAGCGCAGGCUGGAUGACAACGGGAUAAUCUCUGCCGCCGCCGCUCUAAAUCCAUCAAACUGGCCAUCUGAUGAAGACGAGCGCAUCCUCUACGGCGAUGAAAAACUUCUCGCCAUACACAAAACUCUUGCUGUUGAGGCCGCAACCAGUCCCAUACUCCUGAAGGAGUUCGAUGAGUUUAAAUGUCACGGUGUCACAGGAGAGAGCAUGCGCAAAGUUCUCACCGCUGUCUCCACGCUCCUAGUGUGCACAGCCGAGUGUGAAAGAGGUUUCAGCGCCAUGAACCACAUUCUUGCAGAUGGCAGAAACAGAAUGAAUGUGUCCACACUGCACAAUCUGCUUUUCAUCUCUGUAAAUGCACUAGAUGUUGCUUCCUUCCCGGCCCGCAGAUUUGCAGAGAUGUGGUUGAAGCAGGGUCACCACGCUGCUAUCGAUCCGCCAACAGGAAAGCAAAAAAAAGAGGCUGAAGUGCGUCAUCAGAGCGGACUGUUUUCGUAGUCUGACCUAUAGUCUACCCGAUUAACCCAUAAAAUAAAAAAAAAACGUCUUGACAGCACAUUGUGGUAUUUCAUAUUUUCUGUUGAACUGAUAUCGGGAAAAAAUAUAUAUAUUUUUUUAUUUGGCACAUUUAAAAACAAUUUUAGCUAUGAGAAAAUAUUUCUGCAAAUGCAGUGGUUAAGUUCACGUUCAAAAUAGGCCUACCGCCUACGUUAUGAAGCCUAAGUGUAAGGUUUAGAUACACAAGGUCACAAGAUCAACUGUUUUCAUAAGUUUUCACACUGUUGUGUGGUUAUUUUUCCUGAAUAAAAUGUCUCUCAAAAUUAUCCCCCCCUCUGGUUUUUUCACAAAUCGCACCCUGUAUAUAUCUAUGGUCCCAACAUCAAGGAGAGAUAUGCUUCCGCAUCGUGGGUCUAUGGCCACGCCCUACUUCAUGACGUACCGGAUGCAGAAAUAUUCUUGUUUUUUAGCAUUGUUAGCAUUGUAGCAUCAUAAGCGAGAGGUCUGAGCGAUAGCAGUCGCAUUGUUUACCGACCAUGGAAGUAAUCCCCCGAUGAUUCUCUAUAUGUUUAACAAUUAUUAUUUCAGAUUUGUUUGCCCCUUUUUGACUUUAUAAGAAAAGCACCUUGUAUAUACCUUUUUGAAUGUUAAAACAGAAAUAAUAAUUACCACUCGUUUUUUAAUAUAUUUCUGUUUCUGAAACGAGAAUCAAAUGCCCAAUAUAUACAUUGACCCAUCAGUUGGUGUGCCCAGGGAACUCACAAGGUGUUAGGAAGCAAAGGAGUCUGAAAUGACCCCACAUGGUAUCAUGGACCUAUUAUGUGUGGG